GGUUAAGCGACUAAGCGUACACGGUGGAUGCCCUGGCAGUCAGAGGCGAUGAAGGGCGUGCUAAUCUGCGAUAAGCGCCGGUAAGGUGAUAUGAACCGUUAUAACCGGCGAUACCCGAAUGGGGAAACCCAGUGUGACUCGUCACACUAUCAUUAACUGAAUCCAUAGGUUAAUGAGGCGAACCGGGGGAACUGAAACAUCUAAGUACCCCGAGGAAAAGAAAUCAACCGAGAUUCCCCCAGUAGCGGCGAGCGAACGGGGAGGAGCCCAGAGCCUGAAUCAGCAUGUGUGUUAGUGGAAGCGUCUGGAAAGGCGCGCGAUACAGGGUGACAGCCCCGUACACAAAAGCGCAUAUGCUGUGAGCUCGAUGAGUAGGGCGGGACACGUGGUAUCCUGUCUGAAUAUGGGGGGACCAUCCUCCAAGGCUAAAUACUCCUGACUGACCGAUAGUGAACCAGUACCGUGAGGGAAAGGCGAAAAGAACCCCGGCGAGGGGAGUGAAAAAGAACCUGAAACCGUGUACGUACAAGCAGUGGGAGCACCCUUUGGGGUGUGACUGCGUACCUUUUGUAUAAUGGGUCAGCGACUUAUAUUCUGUAGCAAGGUUAACCGAAUAGGGGAGCCGGAGGGAAACCGAGUCUUAAUUGGGCGUUAAGUUGCAGGGUAUAGACCCGAAACCCGGUGAUCUAGCCAUGGGCAGGUUGAAGGUUGGGUAACACUAACUGGAGGACCGAACCGACUAAUGUUGAAAAAUUAGCGGAUGACCUGUGGCUGGGGGUGAAAGGCCAAUCAAACCGGGAGAUAGCUGGUUCUCCCCGAAAGCUAUUUAGGUAGCGCCUCGUGAAUUCAUCUCCGGGGGUAGAGCACUGUUUCGGCUAGGGGGCCAUCCCGGCUUACCAACCCGAUGCAAACUGCGAAUACCGGAGAAUGUUAUCACGGGAGACACACGGCGGGUGCUAACGUCCGUCGUGAAGAGGGAAACAACCCAGACCGCCAGCUAAGGUCCCAAAGUCAUGGUUAAGUGGGAAACGAUGUGGGAAGGCCCAGACAGCCAGGAUGUUGGCUUAGAAGCAGCCAUCAUUUAAAGAAAGCGUAAUAGCUCACUGGUCGAGUCGGCCUGCGCGGAAGAUGUAACGGGGCUAAACCAUGCACCGAAGCUGCGGCAGCGACACUCAGGUGUUGUUGGGUAGGGGAGCGUUCUGUAAGCCUGCGAAGGUGGCCUGUGAGGGUUGCUGGAGGUAUCAGAAGUGCGAAUGCUGACAUAAGUAACGAUAAAGCGGGUGAAAAGCCCGCUCGCCGGAAGACCAAGGGUUCCUGUCCAACGUUAAUCGGGGCAGGGUGAGUCGACCCCUAAGGCGAGGCCGAAAGGCGUAGUCGAUGGGAAACGGGUUAAUAUUCCCGUACUUGGUGUUACUGCGAAGGGGGGACGGAGAAGGCUAUGUUGGCCGGGCGACGGUUGUCCCGGUUUAAGCGUGUAGGCUGGUUUUCCAGGCAAAUCCGGAAAAUCAAGGCUGAGGCGUGACGACGAGGCACUACGGUGCUGAAGCAACAAAUGCCCUGCUUCCAGGAAAAGCCUCUAAGCAUCAGGUAACACGAAAUCGUACCCCAAACCGACACAGGUGGUCAGGUAGAGAAUACCAAGGCGCUUGAGAGAACUCGGGUGAAGGAACUAGGCAAAAUGGUGCCGUAACUUCGGGAGAAGGCACGCUGACAUGUAGGUGAAGUGAUUUACUCAUGGAGCUGAAGUCAGUCGAAGAUACCAGCUGGCUGCAACUGUUUAUUAAAAACACAGCACUGUGCAAACACGAAAGUGGACGUAUACGGUGUGACGCCUGCCCGGUGCCGGAAGGUUAAUUGAUGGGGUCAGCGCAAGCGAAGCUCCUGAUCGAAGCCCCGGUAAACGGCGGCCGUAACUAUAACGGUCCUAAGGUAGCGAAAUUCCUUGUCGGGUAAGUUCCGACCUGCACGAAUGGCGUAAUGAUGGCCAGGCUGUCUCCACCCGAGACUCAGUGAAAUUGAACUCGCUGUGAAGAUGCAGUGUACCCGCGGCAAGACGGAAAGACCCCGUGAACCUUUACUAUAGCUUGACACUGAACAUUGAGCCUUGAUGUGUAGGAUAGGUGGGAGGCUUUGAAGUGUGGACGCCAGUCUGCAUGGAGCCGGCCUUGAAAUACCACCCUUUAAUGUUUGAUGUUCUAACGUGGACCCGUGAUCCGGGUUGCGGACAGUGUCUGGUGGGUAGUUUGACUGGGGCGGUCUCCUCCUAAAGAGUAACGGAGGAGCACGAAGGUUGGCUAAUCCUGGUCGGACAUCAGGAGGUUAGUGCAAUGGCAUAAGCCAGCUUGACUGCGAGCGUGACGGCGCGAGCAGGUGCGAAAGCAGGUCAUAGUGAUCCGGUGGUUCUGAAUGGAAGGGCCAUCGCUCAACGGAUAAAAGGUACUCCGGGGAUAACAGGCUGAUACCGCCCAAGAGUUCAUAUCGACGGCGGUGUUUGGCACCUCGAUGUCGGCUCAUCACAUCCUGGGGCUGAAGUAGGUCCCAAGGGUAUGGCUGUUCGCCAUUUAAAGUGGUACGCGAGCUGGGUUUAGAACGUCGUGAGACAGUUCGGUCCCUAUCUGCCGUGGGCGCUGGAGAACUGAGGGGGGCUGCUCCUAGUACGAGAGGACCGGAGUGGACGCAUCACUGGUGUUCGGGUUGUCAUGCCAAUGGCACUGCCCGGUAGCUAAAUGCGGAAGAGAUAAGUGCUGAAAGCAUCUAAGCACGAAACUUGCCCCGAGAUGAGUUCUCCCUGAGACUUUAGGUCUCCUGAAGGAACGUUGAAGACGACGACGUUGAUAGGCCGGGUGUGUAAGCGCAGCGAUGCGUUGAGCUAACCGGUACUAAUGAACCGUGAGGCUUAACCUU
rnacentral:rRNA from 1 species